rnacentral:rRNA from 1 species
AGAGUUUGAUCCUGGCUCAGGAUGAACGCUGGCUGUGUGCCUAAUGCAUGCAUGUCGUGCGAAGUACUUGUACUUAGCGGCAAAUAGGUGAGUAACACGUACCUAACCUGCCUUUAGGAUUGGGAUAACUGGAGGAAACUCCGGCUAAUACCGAAUAUGUUAAAGUCUCGCAUGGGACUUUAAUCAAAGGAGCGUUUGCUCCGCCUAGAAAUGGGGGUGCGCUACAUUAGGUAGUUGGUAGGGUAAAGGCCUACCAAGCCGAUGAUGUAUAGCGGGGUUGAGAAGCUGAUCCGCCACACUAGGAUUGAGAUACGGCCUAGACUUCUACGGAAGGCAGCAGCAGGGAAUUUUCCACAAUGAGCGAAAGCUUGAUGGAGCGACACAGCGUGCAGGAUGAAGGUCUUAGGAUUGUAAACUGCUGUUGUGAGGGAAGAACAGCCGGGGGAGGAAAUGCCUCCGGUUUGACGGUACCUCACCAGAAAGCACCGGCAAACUAUGUGCCAGCAGUCGCGGUAAUACAUAGGGUGCAAGCGUUAUCCGGAUUUAUUGGGCGUAAAGCGUUCGUAGGUGGUAUGUUAAGUCUAGAGUUAAAGCCUAAAGCUCAACUUUAGUCCGCUUUGGAUACUAGCAUACUAGAGUCAUGAAGAGGUUACUGGAACUCCAUGUGAAGCGGUGGAAUGCGUAGAUAUAUGGAAGAACACCAAUGGCGAAGGCAACUAACUGGUCAUGUACUGACACUGAGGGACGAAAGCGUGGGGAGCAAAUAGGAUUAGAUACCCUAGUAGUCCACGCCGUAAACGAUGCUCGUUAGUUGGUGGCAGAGUCACUAGCGCAGUUAACACGUUAAACGAGCCGCCUGAGUAGUAUGCUCGCAAGAGUGAAACUUAAAGGAAUUGACGGGGACCCGCACAAGCGGUGGAGCAUGUGGUUUAAUUCGAAGCUACGCGAAGAACCUUACCCACUCUUGACAUCCUUGGCAAUGCUAUAGAGAUAUAGCGGAGGUUAACCAAGUGACAGGUGGUGCAUGGCUGUCGUCAGCUCGUGUCGUGAGAUGUUAGGUUAAGUCCUGUAACGAGCGCAACCCUCAUCCUUAGUUACUAACAUUUAGUUGAGCACUCUAGGGAGACCGCCGGGGUAACCCGGAGGAAGGCGAGGACGACGUCAGGUCAUCAUGCCUCUUACGAGUGGGGCGACACACGUGCUACAAUGGCAAGUACAAAGAGAAGCAAUACGGUGACGUGGAGCAAAACUGGAAAACUUGUCUCAGUUCGGAUUGAAGUCUGCAACUCGACUUCAUGAAGUCGGAAUCGCUAGUAAUCGUAGGUCAGACAUACUACGGUGAAUACGUUCUCGGGUCUUGUACACACCGCCCGUCACACCAUGGGAGUUGGUAAUACCCAAAGUCGGUAGAUUAACUUCGGAGAUCGCCGCCUAAGGUAGGACCGAUGACUGGGGUGAAGUCGUAACAAGGUAUCCCUACGAGAACGUGGGGCUGGAUCACCUCCUUA